rnacentral:rRNA from 1 species
CCUACGGGAGGCAGCAGUGGGGAAUUUUGGACAAUGGGCGCAAGCCUGAUCCAGCCAUGCCGCGUGCGGGAAGAAGGCCUUCGGGUUGUAAACCGCUUUUGUCAGGGAAGAAAAGGUUCUGGAUAAUACCUGGGACUCAUGACGGUACCUGAAGAAUAAGCACCGGCUAACUACGUGCCAGCAGCCGCGGUAAUACGUAGGGUGCAAGCGUUAAUCGGAAUUACUGGGCGUAAAGCGUGCGCAGGCGGUUAUGCAAGACAGAGGUGAAAUCCCCGGGCUCAACCUGGGAACUGCCUUUGUGACUGCAUAGCUAGAGUACGGUAGAGGGGGAUGGAAUUCCGCGUGUAGCAGUGAAAUGCGUAGAUAUGCGGAGGAACACCGAUGGCGAAGGCAAUCCCCUGGACCUGUACUGACGCUCAUGCACGAAAGCGUGGGGAGCAAACAGGAUUAGAUACCCUGGUAGUCCACGCCCUAAACGAUGUCAACUGGUUGUUGGGAGGGUUUCUUCUCAGUAACGAAGCUAACGCGUGAAGUUGACCGCCUGGGGAGUACGGCCGCAAGGUUGAAACUUAAAUGAAUUGACGG